CCCUUAGAUGUUCUGGGCCGCACGCGCGCUACACUGAUGCAUUCAACAAGCCUAGCCUUGACCGAGAGGUCCGGGUAAUCUUUGAAACUGCAUCGUGAUGGGGCUAGAUUAUUGCAAUUAUUAAUCUUCAACGAGGAAUGCCUAGUAAGCGUGAUUCAUCAAAUCGCGUUGAAUACGUCCCUGCCCUUUGUACACACCGCCCGUCGCUCCUACCGAUUGAGUGGUCCGGUGAGGCUUUGGGAUCUAAGCGAAAAGAGCGUUUCGCUCCUUUUGCUGGGAGAACUCAGUCGAACCUUAUCAUUUAGAGGAAGGAGAAGUCGUAACA
rnacentral:rRNA from 1 species